rnacentral:tRNA from 5 species
GGCCCCGUCGUCUAAUGGUCAGGACGCGAUUCUUUCAAGAUCGCAAUAGGAGUUCGAUUCUCCUCGGGGCUG